AACGAACGCUGGCGGCAGGCUUAAGACAUGCAAGUCGAACGCCCCGCAAGGGGAGUGGCAGACGGGUGAGUAACACGCUGGAACGUGCCCGAAGGUACGGAACAACUACGGGAAACUGGAGCUAAUACCGUAUGUGACCGAGCGGUGAAUGAUUUAUCGCCUUCGGAUCGGCCCGCGUCAGAUUAUCUUGUUGGUGGGGUAAUGGCCUACCAAGGCUACGAUCUGUAGCUGUUCUGAGAGGAAGAUCAGCCACAUUGGGACUGAGACACGGCCCAAACUCCUACGGGAGGCAGCAGUCGGGAAUAUUGGACAAUGGGCGCAAGCCUGAUCCAGCCAUGCCGCGUGAGUGACGAAGGCCUUAGGGUUGUAAAACUCUUUCGCACGUGACGAUAAUGACGGUAACGUGAGAAGAAGCUCCGACUAACUUCGUGCCAGCAGCCGCCGUAA
rnacentral:rRNA from 1 species